rnacentral:tRNA from 1 species
GGCUAUUUAGUUUACUAAAAACAAAUGUUUUGAAAACAUUUAAAAAGUAUUAUUACCUACUUAAUAACCA